UACGUAGGGUGCAAGCGUUAAUCGGAAUUACUGGGCGUAAAGCGGUGCGCAGGCGGUUAUGUAAGACAGGUGUGAAAUCCCCGGGCUUAACCUGGGAACUGCAUUUGUGACUGCAUAGCUAGAGUACGGUAGAGGGGGAUGGAAUUCCGCGUGUAGCAGUGAAAUGCGUAGAUAUGCGGAGGAACACCGAUGGCGAAGGCAAUCCCCUGGACCUGUACUGACGCUCAUGCACGAAAGCGUGGGGAGCAAACAGG
rnacentral:rRNA from 1 species